rnacentral:pre_miRNA from 14 species
GCGAACCCGUUUGAUGCUCGCCAUAUCCAUUGCCCUACUAUUCGCAUCUCAUCACUCCAGUAUAUAUAUAUAUAUAUAAGGAUGAGAUCGUUCAGUACGGCAAUGGAAAGAGCUAAACGACGGUUGUUUGGCCU